rnacentral:rRNA from 1 species
UGGGCAACCUGCCCUCAGCUUUGGGAUAACUCCAAGAAAUUGGGGCUAAUACCGGAUGUGAUCGCUGACCGCAUGGUCUGGUGGUGGAAAGAUUUAUCGGCUGGGGAUGGGCCCGCGGCCUAUCAGCUUGUUGGUGGGGUAGUGGCCUACCAAGGCGACGACGGGUAGCCGGCCUGAGAGGGUGACCGGCCACACUGGGACUGAGACACGGCCCAGACUCCUACGGGAG